GAGUUUGAUCCUGGCUCAGGAUGAACGCUGGCGGCGUGCUUAACACAUGCAAGUCGAACGAAGCGCCUUAUUUGAUUUUCUUCGGAACUGAAGAUUUGGUGACUGAGUGGCGGACGGGUGAGUAACGCGUGGGUAACCUGCCCUGUACAGGGGGAUAACAAUCAGAAAUGACUGCUAAUACCGCAUAAGACCACAGCACCGCAUGGUGCAGGGGUAAAAACUCCGGUGGUACAGGAUGGACCCGCGUCUGAUUAGCUGGUUGGUGAGGUAACGGCUCACCAAGGCGACGAUCAGUAGCCGGCUUGAGAGAGUGAACGGCCACAUUGGGACUGAGACACGGGCCCAAACUCCUACGGGAGGCGAGCAGUGGGGAAUAUUGCACAAUGGGGGAAACCCUGAUGCAGCAACGCCGCGUGAGUGAAGAAGUAUUUCGGUAUGUAAAGCCCUAUCAGCAGGGAGAAAGUGACGGUACCUGACUAAGAAGCCCCGGCUAACUACGUGCCAGCCGCCGCGGUAAC
rnacentral:rRNA from 1 species